rnacentral:tRNA from 1 species
GGGGUCUUAGCUCAGCUGGGAGAGCGCCUGCCUUGCACGCAGGAGGUCAGGGGUUCGAUCCCCCUAGACUCCACCA